AUUGAACGCUGGCGGCAGGCCUAACACAUGCAAGUCGAGCGGAUGAAGGGAGCUUGCUCCUGGAUUCAGCGGCGGACGGGUGAGUAAUGCCUAGGAAUCUGCCUGGUAGUGGGGGACAACGUUUCGAAAGGAACGCUAAUACCGCAUACGUCCUACGGGAGAAAGCAGGGGACCUUCGGGCCUUGCGCUAUCAGAUGAGCCUAGGUCGGAUUAGCUAGUUGGUGAGGUAAUGGCUCACCAAGGCGACGAUCCGUAACUGGUCUGAGAGGAUGAUCAGUCACACUGGAACUGAGACACGGUCCAGACUCCUACGGGAGGCAGCAGUGGGGAACAUUGGACAAUGGGCGAAAGCCUGAUCCAGCCAUGCCGCGUGUGUGAAGAAGGUCUUCGGAUUGUAAAGCACUUUAAGUUGGGAGGAAGGGUUGUAGAUUAAUACUCUGCAAUUUUGACGUUACCGACAGAAUAAGCACCGGCUAACUCUGUGCCAGCAGCCGCCGUAAUAC
rnacentral:rRNA from 1 species